AUGCAAGUCGAGCGGUAACAGAAAGUAGCUUGCUACUUUGCUGACGAGCGGCGGACGGGUGAGUAAUGCUUGGGAACAUGCCUUGAGGUGGGGGACAACAGUUGGAAACGACUGCUAAUACCGCAUAAUGUCUACGGACCAAAGGGGGCUUCGGCUCUCGCCUUUAGAUUGGCCCAAGUGGGAUUAGCUAGUUGGUGAGGUAAUGGCUCACCAAGGCAACGAUCCCUAGCUGGUUUGAGAGGAUGAUCAGCCACACUGGAACUGAGACACGGUCCAGACUCCUACGGGAGGCAGCAGUGGGGAAUAUUGCACAAUGGGCGAAAGCCUGAUGCAGCCAUGCCGCGUGUGUGAAGAAGGCCUUCGGGUUGUAAAGCACUUUCAGUCAGGAGGAAAGGGUGUGAGUUAAUACCUCAUAUCUGUGACGUUACUGACAGAAGAAGCACCGGCUAACUCCGUGCCAGCAGCCGCGGUAAUACGGAGGGUGCGAGCGUUAAUCGGAAUUACUGGGCGUAAAGCGUACGCAGGCGGUUUGUUAAGCGAGAUGUGAAAGCCCCGGGCUCAACCUGGGAACUGCAUUUCGAACUGGCAAACUAGAGUGUGAUAGAGGGUGGUAGAAUUUCAGGUGUAGCGGUGAAAUGCGUAGAGAUCUGAAGGAAUACCGAUGGCGAAGGCAGCCACCUGGGUCAACACUGACGCUCAUGUACGAAAGCGUGGGGAGCAAACGGGAUUAGAUACCCCGGUAGUCCACGCCGUAAACGAUGUCUACUAGAAGCUCGGAACCUCGGUUCUGUUUUCAAAGCUAACGCAUUAAGUAGACCGC
rnacentral:rRNA from 1 species